GCCGGGGUAGCCUAGCCUGGUUUGGGCGCCAGACCCUCCUAGAAGGGAGGGAGUGACACUCAUAAUCUGGAGAACCUUAACGGUCCAGAAGUCGCGGGUUCGAAUCCCGCCCCCGGCA
rnacentral:tRNA from 1 species